rnacentral:misc_RNA from 1 species
AUUCUUGGCAAUGCGAGGUAGUGGUGCUCCGGCACUCUUCCACGUUAUUUCUUAGAAAAUCCAAGCACGUGUUGGGCAUCAAACGACGAUCAGGUUGGAUUUAAACAUAGAGACCACUGCUUGUGUUGACGAGAAUUUUUCCUUUUGCCAAUUGUUGGGAAAUUUGCGCUGUGUUUUCAUACGAUGGUAAUAAAACGAGUUGGAGUCUUGUGCUUUAUUCGUAGAGGACCACUCGGCAAAAUUUAAGCGGCGAUGCUUCGGUUCAAUGCUUGCGUUUUGUCGGAAAAUUCAAAGACACGUCGGGCAAGGGAUGAUGAUGACUCAAAUGACUUGACAAAACGGUGUUGGAUUAAAACUAAGUUGCGUCCCAUUAAGUUCUCGUGCACAGCGGUGCGGGUGAUGGCCUUUCUCGGUGUAUUCGCGUGUCAUUUGGCCGCGCCUCGCUUAGAAUUGUUGUUGCCUAGCGUACGUGGUGGCACAUGAGUGGUGAAUGGAUCGUUCCGUUUGGUUGGCUCCUUGCUCACGUGCAACGAACUAUCAAGCCUCGAUCCUCUUCAUUUGAAAGCCCCGAUGCCUUGUGCACUUCGGGGAACGGAUGGUUCCUGUGUUGAUUACCCACUAUGGAGGAAAUCAAUUGUUCGUUUGAUCUUUAUUCGCUCUUUCUUCUUUUUAAGAAAAAGGGUGGACCAAGUAGUUUUGCCUGUGUUCCAAGCAUGCUGAAAUCGGUUGCUAUGGCCCAUGGGCAAAUACUUGUGCUCUCGGGUGCAGAAAGUCAUGAGGGCGGACGAGACGCUCUUGUCCAUUUGCCCAAUUGUUCCUUGAAAUGAACGAUGUCCGUUCUCGUGUUGAUUUGGUCAUUACCUUUGGGAAUGAUGCGGUCAAUCCAGUUUCGGUGUCCAGAAGGAA